AAAUAAAACAAAAACACCUCUGGAGGCAGCUCCCAUGGCACAGGGGGCAGCCAGGUAAGAAGGGAUGAGUCCCGAAGGAGCAUUUUGCUUGAGUCCCGAAGUCGAACACAUCUUCCUAACUGCCCGCCAAGGGCCAUUCCGAGCACCUCUCACAUGCUGCUCCUCCCCGACACUGCUGGCCACGACACUGAGUGAUGCCACGUGAGCCUUGGACGUAACCAGCGCUUCACGUUGCCAUCAGACACAGACAUCGAUCGUGUAGUUGCUGGGGAAUCAGGAGGCGAAGCAGGCGGACAGAGAAAGGGACUUGGGAGGAAGACGACGUCUUGGCUCUGGCAUGGCUGGGGCUGAGGGUCAACCCCCUGCUGCUUCCAAGUCACAGAUUCGUCCCCCGGGGCAGGAGGUAGCGUUUCCACCCUGGUAGGUCUCGGAUGGUGCUGCUUUCCCAAGGAUCACGAGGGUCCCGGUAGGGCCUGCCCCGGCAAUGCUGCUUCUCAUUCCGCUCGCGAUGCCAAAAACUCGAAAGCGGGACCUUGAGGAAAUAUUUGCACAGCACGCUCACCGCAGCAUUAUUCACCAAGUAAUAACGGAAGUGGUCGGAGAGUCCGUCGAGGGAUGUAUGGACGACCUGGAGUCCAUCCACACCGUGCACAAGACAAGUCACUAAAAAAAAGAAGACCCAAACAGACGGGCGGCAGUAUAGGACCCAGCCCUACCUGUUCACCACGCAGACCGAACGAGCAGGAGGACCGAAAGGCAGACUUUCACCCGAGCACCAGCUUCAGGAAGUGGGAUGUGGCUCGACGAGCUACAGUCUUGAUGCACCUGCUCAAGGCUCACCCAGGGCUCAGUCAGACUGAGAACAGAGACUUCUACAAGAUUCAAUCCUUCAACAUGCAUUAGCAUUUUUCUGUCAUGAUAAAUCAGGUUUCUUCCUCGAAUACGUACUCGGUUCUGAGCCGAAGCCUCAGGUCACAGGAGACUCACACAGAGACGUCACUAAGCCGCACUUUGGGGUCUGAGUCAGCUCCCCACUUCUGGGUCUGCCACGUGGGUCUCUGUCUCCUCUCCCCUCCUUUAAAGGACCAUCAAAUGUGCUCCUCCCUGUUUAAAAGGCCAAAUAGCAGCCAGAAUGAGUGGGCAAGAGAAAAAAAAAAAAAGGCCAUCCGAACGGUACAUGAAGAAGUGAAGUCUACUCACAGGACAUCCUCUUAACCACGGAAAACCCUGGAGAUUCCCCUAAAUGAGAAACAACCCUCUAGAAGUAAUAAACAAAUUCGGGACUGAAGCCUGAUUGCAGGGACUGUCCUGUCUCACA